rnacentral:sRNA from 1 species
AAGAUAUUUAUUACUAGGGCCAUUUUUGGUAAGCAGAACUGGCGAUGCGAAAAUAUAAAAAAGAAAUGAAUUUUCACAUUAAA